UAAAAACCCCGACUUCGGARGGGGUGUAUUUAUUAGAUACAAAACCAAUGCCCUUCGGGGCUCUUUGGUGAUUCAUGAUAACUAUACGAAUCGCACGGCCUUGCSCCGGCGAUGGUUCAUUCAAAUUUCUUCCCUAUCAACUUUCGAUGUUUGGGUAUUGGCCAAACAUGGUUGCAACGGGUAACGGAGGGUUAGGGCUCGACCCCGGAGAAGGAGCCUGAGAAACGGCUACUACAUCCAAGGAAGGCAGCAGGCGCGCAAAUUACCCAAUCCCGACUCGGGGAGGUAGUGACAAUAAAUACUGAUACAGGGCCCUUUCGGGCCUUGUAAUUGGAAUGAGUACAAUUUAAAUCCCUUAACGAGGAACAAUUGGAGGGCAAGUCUGGUGCCAGCAGCCGCGGUAAUUCCAGCUCCAAUAGCGUAUAUUAAAGUUGUUGUGGUUAAAAAGCUCGUAGUUGAACCUUGGGCCUGGCUGGCCGGUCCGCCUCACCGCGUGCACUGGUCCGGCCGGGCCUUUCCCUCUGUGGAACCCCAUACCCUUCACUGGGCGUGGCGGGGAAACAGGACAUUUACUUU
rnacentral:rRNA from 1 species